UUUUGAUAUUUUUGGCUGAAAACGAGUAAGAACUGUAUUUCUUGCUGUCUAUAUGUUUGUUUUUGGAAACUGUGUAAACAAACUUGAUUUGUGCAUAUUUCUCUCCUGAUUCAGACAGUUUGACUUUUCCGCUGGAGAAAGCAGAAAUAUGGAUAGAUAAUAUGGAUAUUAUGGAUUCGCUUCUUACGAACACACAGCUUUUCACUUCAAGAUGUCAGUUGAUGGGCUGGGGUGAUUAUCGUGAUGUUUGGACUCUCAUUCUGACGGCACCCAUUCACCGCAGAGCAUCCAUUGGCAAGCAAGUGAUUGGCAAGCAUUUUUCUUUGAAGUACAUCUGCAGGGCUAGUCAUUUACCUCUAAAGAACUGUUUAACCCUUUUCUCCUAAUUUCUCCAUAAAUGUUAAGUCACACAGAAGCCCGAUUCCGAUUCGAAGCUUUAGCUUUCGAAGCUAGGACAUCCUCUGGAUCUCAUAAGGUCUACGUUACCUCUCGACUUGGACAUCGACGGAGAUUCUGGCGAUCCAUCGCGAAGAGACUUGACACAAAACAUGACGUGAGGAGCUGAAGCUGGUUGUGACAGCACCUGACAACUUCUGGAAAGCAGGAUUCUCACGAGUUACCAGGCCUCUGCCAAACACCGAUCCCCAUCAGCGAGGCGGCCAAGCGAAGAUGUCAUCCCAAGCUUACGCGGGACGGGGUCCCUCAUGAGAAGAUUUGUGGUCCAUAACAUCAAAUCCCGCCUUUGUGAAUCUUCAUAUGCCUCUCUGGACUUCGGCGCGCAUGAAUAUCUGCAGGCGUUUUGAUUCGAGCUUCAAGGCGUCUGCGUAUCAAGCCUCUCUUUGAUUCGGUGGCAGUGACGCGUCCCGGUUCCCUCCCGAGCGCCACGGCAGCCCGCAACACGUGACCUAUGAAAGGCCAUCACCGCAUCUGAAGUGACAAUUUGACAAGGCACCUCCUUAAGGCCCUUAGCGUGGAGAUCCCGGGCCCCGCUUUGACAACUUCUAUAUACUAAUUGAAUUAACAGACAGCUUUCCAUAACGUGUAAUAAGAGCGCCGAAAACCCUAACCUGAGGAAACCGAGAAGAAAGAAGUCAAUAUGGCCCUUGUCAGUCAGCAAACUGUAAGUUGGUGACCACAAAGACGUUCAAAUUAUGGAGAACUUUUAGUAGCUUUUUAGUGCCUUUUUACUGCACAUGAGUCAAUGUCAGUCAUUUCUGUAGCUUUUCUCCCUUUUAUAGGUGAAGCGACCUAGACAUGUCAUAUUCAUUAUAGU